rnacentral:piRNA from 1 species
UUAAAACAUUUAUGAUGAGCUAUUAUUAA